AAUAUUGGGACAUAUAAAAAAAACACAACUCUGUUCCGCACAGUAGCUGUUGACAUUAUAGUUACGCAGGCAAUUUGUUGACUCUAGAGAACCUCCAGCCAAUUGCACAUCCCCGUGGCAGUGACUUUGCAUUCGGAUGUCAUCCAUAUCAACUUUCGAUGCCAGUUUCUGCGCCUGCCAUGGUGACCACAGGGAAUCAGGGUUCCAUUCCAAACAGGGACCCUGAUAAACUGCUACCACAUGCAAGGAAGGCAGCAGGCGGGCAAAUGACCCACUCCCGACGCGGGAAGGUUGUGA
rnacentral:rRNA from 1 species